rnacentral:rRNA from 1 species
AGAGGUGGCGAGCGUUGUUCGGAUUUACUGGGCGUAAAGCGUGCGUAGGUGGUUUCGUGUGUCGGAUGUGAAAGCCCACCGCCCAACGGUGGAACUGCAUUCGAAACUGCGGAGCUGGAGUGCAGGAUGGGAGAGCGGAAUUCUUGGUGUAGCGGUGAAAUGCGUUGAUAUCAAGAAGAACACCGGUGGCGAAGGCGGCUCUCUGGAAUGCUACUGACACUGAGGCACGAAAGCUGGGGGAGCAAACAGGAUUAGAUACCCUGGUAGUCCCAGCCGUAAACGGUGUGCACUUGGUGUAGGGGGUAUUGACCCCCCCUGUGCCGGAGCUAACGCGUUAAGUGCACCGCCUGGGGAGUACGGCCGCAAGGCUA